GAGUUUGAUCGUGGCUCAGAUUGAACGCUGGCGGCAUGCCUUACACAUGCAAGUCGAACGGCAGCAUGAUCUAGCUUGCUAGAUUGAUGGCGAGUGGCGAACGGGUGAGUAAUACAUCGGAACGUGCCCUGUAGUGGGGGAUAACUAGUCGAAAGAUUAGCUAAUACCGCAUACGACCUGAGGGUGAAAGUGGGGGACCGCAAGGCCUCAUGCUAUAGGAGCGGCCGAUGUCUGAUUAGCUAGUUGGUGGGGUAAAGGCCCACCAAGGCGACGAUCAGUAGCUGGUCUGAGAGGACGAUCAGCCACACUGGGACUGAGACACGGCCCAGACUCCUACGGAGGCAGCAGUGGGAAUUUGGACAAUGGGCGAAAGCCUGAUCCAGCAAUGCCGCGUGUGUGAAGAAGGCC
rnacentral:rRNA from 1 species